rnacentral:misc_RNA from 1 species
GAUGAAGAACGUAGCGAAAUGCGAUACGUAAUGUGAAUUGCAGAAUUCAGUGUAUCAUCGAAUCUUUGAACGCACAUUGCACUCCUUGGUAUUCCGAGGAGUAUGCCUGUUUCAGUAUCAUGAGCACUCUCACAUCUAACCUUUGGGUUAAAAUGUGGAAUUGGGAUGCGCCGGUUAUUAUAACGGCCCUCCUAAAAUUCAGUUCUUGGCUGCUUCCUACUACAGCAGUUUGGCCUAAUAGUUUUGAGUCUUCGAUUCAAAUCUUUGGCUAACAUUUGCUUCAGGAUGUCAGUCUUGAUAUACAGAAAUCUCAUUCAAACUUUGAUCUGAAAUCAGGUAGGGCUACCCGCUGAACUUAAGCAUAUCAAUAAGCGGAGGA